AGGCACCAGAUACAAGCCUGACAGCCUGAUUUGUCCCAGAUGUGUCUGGGAUGAUCUGUGGCUGCAUGGCUUUGAACGGUGCGAUAGCAGCAGCAGCCCUGAGAUUUAAGCUUUUCAGUGAGAAGCAGCACUGUUGGGUUAUGGCUCAGUGGCACAGAG